GGACUGGGGCCGGCUUUCUGUUUCCAGCCAAUGAAAUGAAACGAGGGGAGUUCUGCCUUUGGGCCUCGUCCUUCCUUCGUUCAGAAGAAAGAAAAGGGGAGAUGAACCUUGAGCCCCACGCACCUUUCUUUCCCGAGCACGCAACCUCUCCUCCCUUUUUCAGAAAAACACCAUCCUUCGACCUGGAUCGGCUCACGCGACCGUCGGGCCAUGUCGCCGCCGACGCCGACGCCUGCCAGCGGCGGCAGGCUGGAUCUGGACGGCGUGCUCGUAGCGCUGCUCACCAUCUGUGUGAUCUGGGCCGACGGGUUCAUCUCCUCCCACGUCUGUGAGAAGCUCAUGGCCGAAACCCCGCACUCCGUCCUCGCCGUCGACCACCUCGUCGACCCACCCCCGCCCCACCUCGCCGGCGGCAUCUCUUCCGCUGCCUCAACCUCAUGAACAACUCCCGCCUGGAGGGCCUCAUCAAGAUGUCCGAUCUGGUUUGGAUAGUGGGAGAAAAAUUGGGUGAAGGCAUUGGUAGUACAAGGAAAGAAGUACAACAUCAGGCUGCAGAAAUAUCUUUAAGAAAUUUGGCAAGAGAUUAUGGAGUGUAAUUCUUCAGAUGUACAAAUGUCACAUUGUGCUGAGGGUUCCGAGACUACAAUAGAGACCAAAAUCAAGACUUUGGAUUCUCAAACAUACAAUUUGCAUGUGAAUAAAUGUGUAAGUUGACAAUCCAUGCCGUAUCACAGCGAACCAUGGUGUUUGCAUUGUUUGUGUGGUUUUGUGCUGUACUAUGUAAAAACUCGGUUGUUUGCAUGCAGUAUUUAUUCAAAAUUAGUCAGAUUCCUGCGAUGUUCUCCUAUUUGUUCUCAUUGAAAUUACUGUUGCAUUUUUGACAAGAAAUUUACAGAUAACUGUAUGGCAAUUUUCUUCUAAUUCCCGUAAGUAAUUUUGAGAACACACCAGUACAUCCAUAUUUCAUAAGCAAUGUGUUAGUUGGAUGCCACCUCGGUGGGAUCGGCCGCCUGCGUCGUGUAGUGAGGAGGGGAAGGUGGAGAGAUGGCAGAUGUAGGGGCGGACUGGUGUAGGGGUGGCUGCGGGAGAAGAUGGGACCUCUCCUCUCCCCCGAGUCUAUUGCGGCCGCCUCUCCUCCCAUGUCACUAGGGCCUCGCCCUCACUAGGCAUCGGCAACCUCCCAGCCCUCCUUCCCCGUGCAUGGCUUCCCCAGGAAACUUUGCCUAGGCUUGCGUAUUGUUGCUUUUCGUCAAUGCAUCAAGACACAAUGCCUUUGUGUUUUCUGUUUGAAAAUGAUUAUCUCUUGUACUCUGCAGUCUUCCUUUGGAUUUUUUUGACUACUAUGAUCAGAUUUCAUAUGUCAGCAGCUCUUGCAAUAAUCACCCUUCAUGGUCAUCACAUGAAAGUUCUAAUGUUUAACUGAUUUCAGCAACUCAGAUUUUAGAGUCCUGAAUCAACUUCUAAUGCCGUUCACUUUGAAAUCCACCCAGAUAAGGUCAAGCAAUCAAGGUGAAGUUGGGGUAUGCAAGUACACCGUGGGAGGAUACAUCUGUGAGAUGUAUUUAUAAAACCUUCUCGUGUCUUGUCUUCAUUUUCUAAUUUAACCCUUCUAUGGUUAACCAUAAUUAACCAUUGAAUUAUUCCAUGGCAUUUCCAUAUUUUUGUUGCAAUUUAUGUUCUGAAGCGAAUGCUGCCACUCUUUAUUGCUGUUUCUCGACAUAUGAUUCUUGUAUGUAAGUUUUUAGUUCAAUGUAACAUGUUAACGGAUGCCUUAAGUUUGCUCGUAUAGCAUAUGCUUUCAUAUUUUGAUUUGAUAUUCAGUAGAUCAAAUUUGUUGUAUCUAUAUCAGGUAUAUCUUCUUGUUAUGCUAAUCUAGCAUGGCACAUUUCGUAAAUGAUUUCCCAUUUGUUUCUACUACUUCUGUUUUGAUGUAGCUUUUCAGUUGUUCAUGUGCGCCAUUUAUGAUCAGGGAUGCUCGAGUCAUGUGGGAUAAUAAAACCGGACACUCCAGAGGUUAUGGCUUUGUCUUAUUCUGCAGUCAGCAGGCAUGCACAACUCAGAUCAUUUCCCUUUUGCAUUUUGCAGUAGCUUUACCAUUUUGAUGGCAUGAGUCAAAUACCCUCGAUGUAAUAUUUUGGUGUCUGAGUGAUACCGAUGGCUUUUGCAAUGCCUAAAUUUUAACUCGGUGAAUUAUAUUUUUCUUGUGUUACCAAUCAAGGAUCCUCUCUUCUCUCGGAAUAUCGAUGUUUCUUUCUGACAUUUCUCAAAAGCGUAUCACAGCCACCUUACAUUUUCCGUGUCAUAUGGAAGGUCUUCUUUGUUAAUUGAGUGAAUAUUUUUCUUGUAGUUUUACCUUUGGUUACUUCUAUGUCAUUCUGUUGAUUUACGGUACAAUAAUUAUAUGUAUUAGCGUUAGGUCCUUGCAAAGAAAAGGUCAUCUUUGUGUAAGUGAUUCUACUCAAUAUGUAAUAAUGUUUUUACUACAUGAGAUGGAACUGGGCUUCCGGUUAAUAAGGAAUAUUCUAACAACUGUCUAAUGCAUGCUGAUUUUUAGUAUUAUAUGUUUCCUAUUGGUAGGUUCUUUCUGUUGAGCCACUAACAUAAGCAAAUUAGGUGUGAUUGUUAACAACAACAUUUUAUUUAUCUGUAAAUUGCAGGCACUGGACAGGUUUAAUACAGCAGUUGUGUCACCAAUAUAUUACGUGAUGUUUACUUUGUUAUGCUUGUUCUUGAUAAGAAAAUCAAGCAUUUGGCAUCUAUUGCAAUCUGGAGAUGAUCCAUAUGUGGCCUAAUUUUCUACUACUGAAUCACAAUGCUAUGUUGUGAUUACUGGCAGCAAGAGUCAGCAUGACCGCUCAUUCUGUAUGCUUUAAACUAUUUUAUUGGAGUUUACUAAUUCCAUGUACUGGAAGCAACAGCCUACAAGUUUGAUAUGUGAAAGGUUUAUUAUCUUAUAUCUUGCUUGUGUAGUGUAGGGUGGUUCGGAGGGCACCCGAAGAGAGAUCGUAUCAUAUUUCCUAUCAGUUGUUCUCUGGAUCUUCUCCCCUUCACAUAAGGUUCUUGCUUGAGAAUUGAUGGUGUUGAUGAUGCCAAAGGAUUUUCAUCAUUAUUGACUUUAAAGGAUGGAGAAAAAAGAAUGCUCUAUGAUCAGGAUUGCCGAUUUUACUUUACAAAGAGUAGCAUUUAAAAAGCGAAUGACAUUUGAUAAAUUGCUGAAAGGUGGUGGUUGCACACUAUGGGGGACAGUGUCCAAGAGAGGGCUCGGAGAUGGUUAGAGGUUAGCUACUGUUCACUAUCUAUCAAUCCUAUCUUCAUGUACCUGUGUGUGUUUGGUACAGUACUUGAUCUCUUAUGAUUUAGGGAGCUCUUCAGAUCUAAGAAGAAAUUGAUGUAAGAUUUAUUUUCAUAUUCUUGGAAACUCAUGCUAUGGAGAAUCAUAAUGAUAUUCUCAUUGUACAGGCGGUGCAAGGUCUAACAUGAUUGUGCUGAUGCUCUCUCCUUUGUAGAGGACCAUCCCGAUGUCUGGGUUUCGGCAUGGUGGUGAGGUGCCUGAGGUCACGGCUCUGAGUCAGGAACCUCUUAUUGAGCGUGCCAGUACUUCAUGGUGGUGACGUAUGUCUCGAUGAUAGUCCAGUUUGAUAAAAUGCCAAUAGGAGCAGGUCUGUGAAGCCAAUAUGAGCCGGUCAGUAAACUAGUGAUGCAGUCUCACUGUUCAUCGUCUCUAGACGCACCUAUAUGAUCCAUGUAUCUAGUUUCUCUCCAAAACUUGUGAUGCCUGCGUUGUGAUGAUCCGAGGAACUCUGCCUCUAUUUUGGAGAUCGCCCAUCUUUUGGAGACCGCUGAACUUUGAUUUGAACCGAUGAAUGUGUCUUUGUGAUCAGUCAUCCACUUUGUAAGAUUGUCAAAUCUCUGUUAAGCUAUCAGCAUAGAUGAAACUACUUGCUUGCUCUGCUUUA